GGACUGUAGUCUGCAACCCGACUACACGAAGCUGGAAUCGCUAGUAAUCGCGAAUCAGAAUGUCGCGGUGAAUACGUUCCCGGGUCUUGUACACGCCGCCCGUCACACCAUGGGAGUCGGAAACGCCCGAAGCCAGUGACCCAACCGUAAGGAGGGAGCUGUCGAAGGCGGGGCCGGUAANGGGGUGAAGUCGUAACAAGGUAUC
rnacentral:rRNA from 1 species